ACAAUGGGCGCAAGCCUGAUCCAGCCAUGCCGCGUGUGUGAAGAAGGCCUUCGGGUUGUAAAGCCCUUUUGUCGGGGAGGAAGGCCAGUGGGUUAAUACCUGGUUGGNNUGACGUUACCCACAGAAUAAGCACCGGCUAACUUCGUGCCAGCAGCCGCGGUAAUACGAAGGGUGCAAGCGUUAAUCGGAAUUACUGGGCGUAAAGCGCGCGUAGGUGGUUUUUUAAGUCNGNUGUGAAAUCCCCGGGCUCAACCUGGGAACUGCAUUNGAAACUGGCAGGCUAGAGUGUGGUAGAGGGUGGUGGAAUUCCCGGUGUAGCGGUGAAAUGCGUAGAGAUCGGGAGGAACACCGGUGGCGAAGGCGGCCCCCUGGACCAACACUGACACUCAGGC
rnacentral:rRNA from 1 species